AACGAACGCUGGCGGCAGGCCUAACACAUGCAAGUCGAACGCCCUAGCAAUAGGGAGUGGCGCACGGGUGAGUAACGCGUGGGAACGUGCCUUUCAGUCUGGAAUAACUGCGGGAAACUGCAGCUAUUACCGGAUAUUCUCUACGGAGGAAAGAUUUAUCGCUGAAAGAUCGGCCCGCGUUAGAUUAGGUAGUUGGUGGGGUAAUGGCCUACCAAGCCUACGAUCUAUAGCUGGUCUGAGAGGAUGAUCAGCCACACUGGAACUGAGACACGGUCCAGACUCCUACGGGAGGCAGCAGUGGGGAAUACUGAAAAGGGGCGCAAGCCUGAUCCAGCCAUGCCGCGUGAGUGACGAAGGCCUUAGGGUUGUAAAGCUCUUUUGUCAGGGAAGAUAAUGACGGUACCUGAAGAAUAAGACACGGCUAACUUCGUGCCAGCCGCCGCCGUAA
rnacentral:rRNA from 1 species